rnacentral:rRNA from 1 species
UACGAAGGGGGCUAGCGUUGCUCGGAUUUACUGGGCGUAAAGGGCGCGUAGGCGGACAGUUUAGUCAGAGGUGAAAGCCCAGGGCUCAACCUUGGAAUUGCCUUUGAUACUGGCUGUCUUGGGUACGGGAGAGGUGAGUGGAACUCCGAGUGUAGAGGUGAAAUUCGUAGAUAUUCGGAAGAACACCAGUGGCGAAGGCGACUCACUGGCCCGUUACUGACGCUGAGGCGCGAAAGCGUGGGGAGCAAACAGG